GAUGAACGCUAGCGGCAGGCCUAACACAUGCAAGUCGAGGGGUAGGGUUAGCUUGCUAACUUGAGACCGGCGCACGGGUGCGUAACGCGUAUGCAAUCUACCUUGUACAGAGGGAUAGCCCAGAGAAAUUUGGAUUAAUACCUCAUAGUAUCUUUACCUGGCAUCGGGUAAUUAUUAAAGUUCCAACGGUACAAGAUGAGCAUGCGUCCCAUUAGUUAGUUGGUAAGGUAACGGCUUACCAAGACAAUGAUGGGUAGGGGUCCUGAGAGGGAGAUCCCCCACACUGGUACUGAGACACGGACCAGACUCCUACGGGAGGCAGCAGUGAGGAAUAUUGGUCAAUGGACGCAAGUCUGAACCAGCCAUGCCGCGUGCAGGAAGACGGUCCUAUGGAUUGUAAACUGCUUUUAUACAGGAAGAAACAACUCUACGUGUAGAGUCUUGACGGUACUGUAGGAAUAAGGAUCGGCUAACUCCGUGCCAGCAGCCGCGGUAAAGUCAG
rnacentral:rRNA from 1 species